rnacentral:piRNA from 1 species
UGAAGAAGUUGUUAUAAUUUGGAGCUGC